AGGAACCAUUGCUGAAGUGUUUUUGAGUGUGGUUUUCCAGCAUCACAAGUGCUUUCUCUCAACCCAUAGUGAAUCAUCUUUCUUUAUAGAGUAUCCUGUGUCUAGAUGAAUAAAACCAACUGCCUUCUGAAUUAUCAAAGCUACCCAACUGAAAAAGAACACACCUUCCUUGGCAACUGGAGGGAUUGCCUUUCUUACUCUAAAUACACAGCACCAGACAUGUUCUAUGUAUCUCCAUAAGGAAGGAAGCAGUCCAGCUCACCUUCACAAUGAAGGCAGGUAUGAUCCCUGCUUACCUGGCUCAUAGUCCUUCACAACACUGUUAAUUACCAGUGUUAAUUACAAUCCAAGUCUUAAGCUUGAGAGUUAUCACAAAGAGAAAAGUUAUCACAAUGAAAAAAGACUUCAGGAAUG
rnacentral:lncRNA from 1 species